GAUGAACGCUGGCGGUAGGCCUAACACAUGCAAGUCGAACGGCAGCACAGGAGAGCUUGCUCUCUGGGUGGCGAGUGGCGGACGGGUGAGGAAUACAUCGGAAUCUACCUUUUCGUGGGGGAUAACGUAGGGAAACUUACGCUAAUACCGCAUACGAUCCAAGGAUGAAAGCAGGGGACCUUCGGGCCUUGUGCUCCUGG
rnacentral:rRNA from 1 species